CCAAUAGCGUAUAUUAAAGUUGUUGCAGUUAAAAAGCUCGUAGUUGAAUUUCGGGGUUCAUCCGUUGGUCGGGCUUUUGGGUCUGUACUGGCGUGAUGGAUUCCUACCUUCUGAAUAACCAGCAUGUCAUUAAUUUGGUGCGCUGGGGAAGCAGGACUGUUACCUUGAAAAAAUUAGAGUGCUUAAAGCAGGCUAUUGCCUGAAUACAUUAGCAUGGAAUAAUGAAAUAGGACGCAUGGUUCUAUUUUGUUGGUUUCUAGGAUCACCGUAAUGAUUAAUAGGGAUAGUUGGGGGCAUUAGUAUUCAAUUGUCAGAGGUGAAAUUCUUGGAUUUAUUGAAGACUAACUUCUGCGAAAGCAUUUGCCAAGGAUGUUUUCAUUAAUCAAGAACGAAAGUUAGGGGAUCGAAGACGAUCAGAUACCGUCGUAGUCUUAACCAUAAACUAUGCCGACUAGGGAUCGGACGAUGUUAAUUUUUUAAUGACUCGUUCGGCGCCUUACG
rnacentral:rRNA from 1 species